rnacentral:rRNA from 1 species
UACGUAGGGUGCAAGCGUUGUCCGGAAUUAUCGGGCGUAAAGAGCUCGUAGGCGGUCUGUCGCGUCGGCUGUGAAAACCCGGAGCUCAACUCCGGGCCUGCAGUCGAUACGGGCAGACUGGAGUUCGGCAGGGGAGACUGGAAUUCCUGGUGUAGCGGUGAAAUGCGCAGAUAUCAGGAGGAACACCGGUGGCGAAGGCGGGUCUCUGGGCCGGUACUGACACUGAGGAGCGAAAGCGUGGGUAGCAAACAGG